CGUUCCCUGCCUGAGCACCUGAGCUGAGCCCCCAGCCAGGUCCUAGGACAUGGGGAACACGGUGAGUUGUUGUUUUCGUCCAAAUCCUCGGGACGCCAGGAGGAUCAGGAGAAGGGGCAGCGGUUGCGAAAUGAGGACAUUCAGAGCCAGCAGACCUCUGUAAAAACAUUGGAGGGUGGUUCAGUAGGCACUACGGUAGAUAGCUCUGACUCACCAUUGUUCAAUAAUGAUGAGGGCACAGGGACAGUCAAAACCAGGCCUGCCACUGGAGAUCUCACAACAGGUGAAGCCUACUGCAUCCGCAGUUGUCAUCAACGUCCAAGUGGAUGCAGUUUCUGUUGUGGACAAGAGUAUGUUCCUCUAUCAGCAGGAGAUCCCUGAAGAGCUUGAGUCUCAUCAUGGUCUGAUUAAAGGCUGGUUGUUUCCUGACAUGCAAGUACACGACUGGGAUCGGAAAUGCUGUGGAUCUGGGGAAGUGGAUGUGGCUCCAGUCUGUCUCUGGGUCACCUGCUAUCAGCCCUGCUGUGCCUGAGCCAGAGGCAGCCGUUAUCUCUGGAGACGCCAUGGCGUUCCUGCCAUUCACGUUGCUUAGCAACAGGGAUGAGGUCCACAGCUCCAUCACCCUAGUUGCCCCCAGACCACAGUCAGAAUAUCCCCCCUGACAAUGACUGGCAUUAGUGAGAGAUGGACCUCCACAGUGGUACAUGUGUGUUCGUGUACGUCUAUGAACUACAGUGAGUAGCCUAUAGCAGACUGAACUGACCUGAACUCUCUAUGCCUUUUGUCUUCUAUUCUCUCUUUAUACUUUACUCCAAGGUGUUCAGACACCUUGUAAAAACACAAUGAGAUACAUGCUGUGCACAGCACAAAUAAGAGGCACAAUACAAUAGCUUAUCUCCCCAGCUGGUGGUGAUGUUAAAAGCCAAACAAUGUAAUUAUCAGGAUAGUCUAAUCUUGUACACCGCAAUACUAAUCUUGAGAUAAUAACUUCUGAGGUUCAAAUGAAACAAAAGUAAACCCUCAAGGCCUCAACACGCAUUUGAGAUUGUCACACAGCUUUACUGUAAAGCUUGGCUAACAGUGUAGAAUGGAGAUUAUAUCAAUGAAUAGUGUAUUUUUGACAUUCAACUGCUUGCCAUAUGUGAUCUUAUGAAUGUUUUCAAUCAACCUCAGUUAUGACUGAUUUUCAUGAAAUAUAAUAAAAAAUCAUUUAGCAUAUGAUUUAGCCAUUUUAUGAAUAUUAAACCCCUGACCUUGAUGUUGCUGGCACCCUGCUGUACCAAUUGAAAUAUUACUACUAAUAUAAAAGUAUUUGUUUUCAUUUGA